rnacentral:rRNA from 1 species
GAUGAACGCUGGCGGCGUGCCUAAUACAUGCAAGUCGAGCGAACAGACGAGGAGCUUGCUCCUCUGACGUUAGCGGCGGACGGGUGAGUAACACGUGGAUAACCUACCUAUAAGACUGGGAUAACUUCGGGAAACCGGAGCUAAUACCGGAUAAUAUAUUGAACCGCAUGGUUCAAUAGUGAGAGACGGUUUUGCUGUCACUUAUAGAUGGAUCCGCGCCGCAUUAGCUAGUUGGUAAGGUAACGGCUUACCAAGGCAACGAUGCGUAGCCGACCUGAGAGGGUGAUCGGCCACACUGGAACUGAGACACGGUCCAGACUCCUACGGGAGGCAGCAGUAGGGAAUCUUCCGCAAUGGGCGAAAGCCUGACGGAGCAACGCCGCGUGAGUGGUGAAGGUCUUCGGAUCGUAAAACUCUGUUAUUAGGGAAGAACAAGUGUGUAAGUAACUAUGCACGUCUUGACGGUACCUAAUCAGAAAGCCACGGCUAACUACGUG